rnacentral:tRNA from 1 species
GGAUGCUUAGCUCAGUUGGUUAGAGCACCGAACUUUUAAUUCGGGGGUCCAGGGUUCGAACCCCUGAGCAUCUACCA